rnacentral:rRNA from 1 species
ACGAACGCUGGCGGCGUGCUUAACACAUGCAAGUCGAACGGAAAGGCCCUGCUUUUGUGGGGUGCUCGAGUGGCGAACGGGUGAGUAACACGUGAGUAACCUGCCCUUGACUUUGGGAUAACUUCAGGAAACUGGGGCUAAUACCGGAUAGGAGCUCCUGCUGCAUGGUGGGGGUUGGAAAGUUUCGGCGGUUGGGGAUGGACUCGCGGCUUAUCAGCUUGUUGGUGGGGUAGUGGCUUACCAAGGCUUUGACGGGUUGCCGGCCUGAGAGGGUGACCGGCCACAUUGGGACUGAGAUACGGCCCAGACUCCUACGGGAGGCAGCAGUGGGGAAUAUUGCACAAUGGGCGGAAGCCUGAUGCAGCAACGCCGCGUGCGGGAUGACGGCCUUCGGGUUGUAAACCGCUUUCGCCUGUGACGAAGCGUGAGUGACGGUAAUGGGUAAAGAAGCACCGGCUAACUACGUG